UAACAAAACGGGAGAAGCAUAAACGGGAGAAGCAUCAUGGAGAUACAUAAAAGCAAUUCAGGAGUUUUCCAUGGCGACAAUGUCUUGCAUCAAAAUAUAAAUUAGAUUGAAUAUGAAAACACUACACGGUGAAACUUCCAACCGUGCGGGAAAUAUUGUGUCAACUACAUCAUCAAAAAUAUCAGGAAGGAGUGCAGACGUAUGCCCUCAGGAGAUUGAUGAAUCAAGUUGGGAGUUGCAAGCCUUGGAGACAGGAGAAGAGAAAAUUCCAGGAGAGUGUAUAAAAUGCCUUUGCGAUAUCUACCUUAAUGGUAAUUCACUUCUGCCCUUUGUUCUUAUGAUACCCAUUAACUAGUUCUCCCACCAGUGUAGUGUUCUCCAUCAAUAACCGUCCUUUCACAAAGGCUCUUUGACUAGGCAAUAUCAAGCUUGGUAGUAUAGGCUUCAAUCUCUUUACCAAAAGUCUUGAGAUAACUUUGUAUAUAGUGUUCAAACAGGAUAUUGGCCUAAACGCUGUUAUCUUUGAGGCUCCUGGAAACUUUGAGACUAAGGUGAGUAUUGUUGCAUUUGCAGUUGAGGGGAGAAAAGCAUAUGCGAAGAAGUUCUUAAUGGAGACCACCACUCAUGUCCUACAGUUUUCCAACUAGCCUUGAAGAAAGCUGAAGUUAAACCGUCGGACCCUGGUGCUUUAUUAGCAUUCAACUUGAACAAUCAGGAUCUGAUUUCCUCUGUCGUAGGAAAGAGUGGCAUCUGUUGGAGUUAAUCAUGAGGGAAGAUGAAACCAGUGAGUUCUACGAUCCAGUGUGGUGCUGAGACGAUCCCUGGAUAGUGAUUAUUUGUAGGGCCGAGAACAGACUGAAAGUGAUUAACAGCGUUCUCACUCAUCUCUUGCGGUUCCGUUAUCCAUUGAUCAACUCCUAUGAGAAAAGCCCUGAUUGCAUUAUAGCUUGUGCGGGUUUGGCAUAUCCGAUGAAAGUAGGUUGUGUUGAAGUCUCCCUCUCUCAAAUUGGCAAUAUUUCCAAACUGAAUCCAAGCGUCAUGUAUUAGCUGAACGAAUUGUGGGUGUUUGGUUAGGUAAUUGGGGAAUAUGAAUGGUUUGGAACCCGCAGUAGGUAGCUUUACCGCCAGGUCCAGUAUACAAGGUGAGUUGUCUGAGAAUAGGGGGUAGGAAGGAAGCAAGGGCAUGAGGAGAAGAGGCUAUUGUGUUAUUAUUCACCAGCAAUCUGUCAAGCUUUUGGAAAUAGGUUCAGAGGGUUGGCUGUUAGUCCAAGUAUGACAGGCACCAAUGUAGCGUAGAUCAAAAAGCCCCAGAUGUGUCAAACAAUCACGCAUCUGGUACAUUUGGCUAUCAGGGCAUUGACAGUUGGGGCAGAGUACUCCGAAUGGUAUAUAAUCUGAUUUAAAUCCCCUCCCUGAGUCCAAGCAGUAUUUUCCAGAGACAAGGUGGAGCUCAAAUGUAUAAUCUCUGCCCAAAGAUCUGUCCUUUCGGCGCUAAGAUUGGAAGCAUAUACUUCUGAGUAGUAUAAGGAAGGCUGGUUAGGGAAAUCGAUCUUGCAAGUGAUGCACUGACGGGUUUGGUGAAGGAUUUGGACAUUGAGGGAGUUUCUGCAAAUAAGUAUUAUACGACCAUCGGGAUCAGCCAGGUGGUUUGAAAAAUAACUCCAGUUAGGGCAUAGAGAAGACAUGAUAGAACUCAAAAAAGGCUCUUUGAUAUAUGAUUAUAGGAUAGCACCAAAAAGAGACUUAUGUUGAUCAAGCCAAGAGACAAAAGGUUUGUGCUUGUUCGGAUCAUUUAGGCCUCGAACAUUCCAAAAAAGAGUUUUACACUCAUUAAGCUAAAGAGGAGGGGUCUUCCGAAAGAAUGGAAGAACCGCCAGUAACCGAAGGAACAUAAACAGUAUUUGCACGAGAGGGGUGAAAGGCUUUGAAGACAAAAAGGUGAUAGAGGAAGGGGAUCAAAAGAAAAUUUGGAGGUUGUGGUUUGGUGAGAAAAAGGGUUAUGAUUUUCUAAAAGAAGAGGAGGGGAUAGGGUUGGGGAGGAUCUCGAUCUCUUAAGGGAAGGUCUUGGACAGGCUCUGGAGUUGAAAAAGAGUUUAUGGAUAAAAGGGGGCUUUCUUAGGAGGGGGAAUAGGAUGAGAAUUAGUUGAGGAAGGAGGGAGGGUAGCUGAAAGGGAGGGGGAAUUAACAGUUAACUGAGAGGGGGUAGGGAUAAUGGUAUUUGGUAAGGUUGAUUGACUAGCAGUAGAGGUGGAGGGGUUAAGAUUUUUAGAUUUGUCAACAGGCUGGUAACUUUGCUGAGGCUUCGCUUUUUGCUUUACAUGUUCCUUUGCCGCAUGCGCCUUUUUCUGAGCCGAAGGAGUAGCACUGGAGCAGAAGUAUAGGUUAGAAAGUUGCGCUGAAUAUGACUCAGUUCAUGACAAUGAGUGCAAGUUGGUGGCACCCAAGGAUAACUGACAGCAACCUCAACAACUUCUCCAUCCUCUCUUUCAAACUCCACCACAGAUGGGAGAGGCACAGUGAGGUCUACUUCUACCUUGACAUGAGAUAGGGUAAGGCUUAUAAGGUUUUUUGUGAAGACGUCAGUUUCUUUAGGUUCACCGAUAAGACCAGCUAUAAGGCCAUAGCCUUCAUCAUGUCUCAGGUCUAGAGGAAUGCCCGUGAUGUGCGCCCAAAUCUGUAUUGCACGAAGGGGAGGCGUUGAUUUUGAGUGAGAUGAAGACCAUUGGACUGUAUGGAACAUGAAAUCUCCAACAUACCAGAUGUUGUUCUCAAGUAUCUUCUGCCUGAGGUAAUCACUAGGGAUUCUCACAAUAGUAGAUCGAUUAAGAGGAUUGUUAUGAAUCUCUAAUCUUCUUCCUUUUCUCCACAUAUGAUUGAAUACACUCUGAAUCUGGUGAAAAGGAGGAGCCUUUCCAUUAAAAUAGCAUACAAUGAAAUUUUUAUGAAUUUCGGUUUCUUUCUUGAACACAGAAUCAGGUAUAGUAACUCUGGGCCUUCCUGCUGGUGCUAUAAUGACUGGGACGAGUCUUUUGAGCUUUUUAUUCUCAGAAGCUAUGAGCCUUUCUACCAAGGAAGGCUUAGACACAUGAGAUGGUAAUUCUGUCUCCAUUGUGGGAGCAGUUUGAGACAAGGGGACAAAUGGUUCCUGUAAGGUGGAGGUUUCAUUUGUUUUCAGGGAGGGGACAGAGGUGGUUUGAGGGUCGAUUUCCAUGGGACUUUUUUCAAAAAGGUUGUGGUUUGGGAGAAUGGUUGAGGACGCAAUAUUGAUAUGGAUGGGGAAGUGUUUUUUGGUGGAAGGGUUGUGAAGUCACUGCUCAAGUUUUUCACAUUGGUGGUGACUUUGUCAGUUUGUUCUUCAGAUCUAGUUAUAGGACGAGUUGUUUGCUCGUUGCAGCUUCUACAGGCUUAGCAUUUCGUGCUGAAGUAGUUGCAGCUGGAGUUUUAAAAGCUCCUGCAGUUCAGUGGGCUGACUUUUUUUUUGAGAUGAAGUCAGAACAGUGCAAGAUCUGGUGGAAGUUAAAGAUAAGGGUGGAAAGUUUUGCGGUGAAAGAGGGGUUGUGGGAUGUGGUAGGUCAGGAGGGUGCAGGUUGGGGUCGGACGGAGGAACAAGAGGGACAGGGGGUUCGCCAGCGGCAACUGACGGUGGAUUGUAUUCUGACCGGAACUCUAUGCAUCAAAACUCGUGUGCUAUGCAUCGAAACUCGUGUCAGAGAGAUUGUGACUUUUCCACAAUUUAAAGUUUAUUGUGCUAAGACAUGUUUUUGGUGGACAAUUUAAAGUUUAUUGUGAAGGUUUUCCUGUCCCCUUAUUUUGAUGUCCCUUAAGAUAAAAAAAACAUACAUUAUAACAAAAGAGCUUUCACACAA